UACGUAGGGUGCGAGCGUUAAUCGGAAUUACUGGGCGUAAAGCGCGCGCAGGCGGUCUUCCAAGUCAGUGGUGAAAGCCCGGAGCUCAACUCCGGAACUGCCAUUGAAACUGUUGGACUUGAGUACGAGAGAGGUGAGUGGAAUUCCGAGUGUAGAGGUGAAAUUCGUAGAUAUUCGGAAGAACACCAGUGGCGAAGGCGACUCACUGGACACGUAUUGACGCUGAGGUGCGAAAGCGAUGGGAGCAAA
rnacentral:rRNA from 1 species